rnacentral:rRNA from 1 species
GGACUAUCAUGUCGGUCGUACCUCGGUACGUACUGGUAUUGUUGGUUUCUCCCUUCUGACGAACCAUGAUGUCAUUUAUUUGGUGUUGUAGGGAAUCAGGACUGUUACUUUGAAAAAAUUAGAGUGUUUAAAGCAGGCUCACGCUUGAAUACAUUAGCAUGGAAUAAUGAAAUAGGACGAUUGAUCCUAUUUUUGUUGGUUUCUAGGAUUGACGUA